AAGUCGUAACAAGGUUUCCGUAGGUGAACCUGCGGAAGGAUCAUUAUCGAAUAAAUCUGGCGUGGUUUGUUGCUGGCUUGUACAAGCAUGUGCACACCCGUCACCUUUAUCUUUCCACCUGUGCACUCUUUGUAGGCUCUGGGAUUAUCUCUCGCGCACUUGUGCUGCGGAUGCGAAGGCUGUUGUGCCCUCACAGGCCAGCUUCCCUCGAAUGUCCCAGGUCUAUGUUUUAUUUAACACACCCCUGAAUGUUUAAAAGAAUGUUGAUUUCAAAGGGCUUUGCCCAUACGAAACUCAAUACAACUUUCAGCAACGGAUCUCUUGGCUCUC
rnacentral:misc_RNA from 1 species